UACGUAGGGACCAAGCGUUGUCCGGAAUCAUUGGGCGUAAAGAGCGUGUAGGCGGCUUGUUAAGUCUUGCGUGAAAUCUCGGGGCUCAACCCCGAGCGGUCGUGAGAAACUGGCAGGCUAGAGUGCGGGAGAGGAGGGUGGAAUUCCUGGUGUAGCGGUGAAAUGCGCAGAUAUCAGGAAGAACACCGGUGGCGAAGGCGGUUCUCUGGGCAUGUCCUGACGCUGAGGAGCGAAAGUGUGGGGAGCGAACAGG
rnacentral:rRNA from 1 species